UACGGCUACCUUGUUACGACUUAGUCCCAAUCAGCAAUUCCACCGUGGUUCCGCCCCUUGCGGGUAACGGACCUUCGGGUGUUUCUGCCUUUCAUGACUUGACGGGCGGUGAGUACAAGACCCAGGAACAUAUUCACCGUGACAUGGCUGAUUCACGGUUACUAGCGAUUCCAACUUCACGAAGGCGAAUUGCAGCCUUCGAUCCGAACUUGGACCGGUUUUGGGGGAUUCGCUCCGCCUCGCGGCUUGGCUGCCCUUUGUACCGGCCAUUGUAGCACGGGUGUCGCCCCAGGCGUAAGAGCCACGCUGAUCUGACGUCAUCCUCACCUUCCUCCGACUUGGAGCCGGCAGUCUCCUGUGAAAAUGCAACACAGGAUGAGGGUUGCGCUCGUUCAUUGACUUAACAACACACCUCAAGGCACGAGCUGACGACGACCGUGCAGCGUCUGUCUUAGAGUUCCUUGCGGCACGAUUUAAUUUCUUAAACCUUCUCUAGAUGUCAAGCCUGGGUGAGGUGCCCCGCUUAUUAUCGAAUUAAACCCCAUGCUCCACCGCUUGUGUGGGUCCCCGUCUAUUCCUUUGAGUUUUAAUCUUGCGACCGUACUCCCCAGGCGGCGUGUUUACCGCGUUAGCUAAGGCACGGAGGAUC
rnacentral:rRNA from 1 species